rnacentral:rRNA from 1 species
AACGAACGCUGGCGGCAGGCUUAACACAUGCAAGUCGAGCGAAGACUUCAGUCUUAGCGGCGGACGGGUGAGUAACGCGAGAGAAUAUGCCCUUUGCUACGGAAUAGUCCUGGGAAACUGGGGGUAAUACCGUAUGUGCCCUUCGGGGGAAAGAUUUAUCGGCAAAGGAUUAGCCCGCGUUGGAUUAGGUAGUUGGUGGGGUAAUGGCCUACCAAGCCGACGAUCCAUAGCUGGUUUGAGAGGAUGAUCAGCCACACUGGGACUGAGACACGGCCCAGACUCCUACGGGAGGCAGCAGAGGGGAAUCUUAGACAAUGGGGGCAACCCUGAUCUAGCCAUGCCGCGUGAGUGAUGAAGGCCUUAGGGUUGUAAAGCUCUUUCAGCUGGGAAGAUAAUGACGGUACCAGCAGAAGAAGCCCCGGCUAACUCCGUGCCAGCAGCCGCGGUAAUACGGAGGGGGCUAGCGUUGUUCGGAAUUACUGGGCGUAAAGCGCACGUAGGCGGACCAGCAAGUUAGGGGUGAAAUCCCGGGGCUCAACCUCGGAACUGCCUUUAAAACUGUUGGUCUGGAGUUCGAGAGAGGUGAGUGGAAUACCGAGUGUAGAGGUGAAAUUCGUAGAAAUUCGGUGGAACACCAGUGGCGAAGGCGGCUCACUGGCUCGAUACUGACGCUGAGGUGCGAAAGCGUGGGGAGCAAACAGG